rnacentral:lncRNA from 12 species
AUAGGGGUACAGGUAAACCCACAAAGGGGAGGAAUGACUAAAAUUCAUGGCCCAGGCACCUCCCUCAAGACCAGAGGUUUGUUAUCUGCAGAGGGUAACAUAAAGGGUCUCUGUGAGGUCAGGGACUCCACGUGUGAUAACAGGUGAUUAGUGACCGUUCACAUCUCAAAGGUGGAGGCCCCCAACUUCUACUCCUACUCCCAGACCUCUGGCCACCUCUGAACUUCUCAUGAAAGUUCCCUUUCCCCAGGAAAAAGGAAAAGUAUCUUCUAGUCACAUUCUUGGGCUGACCAUUCUGCAAAUGGAACUGUUCUCAGAUGUGAGAAGAAUUUGGCAAUCAUUAGAAUCAUAUCGAGGGAGUCUGGAGGUGAACUGUUUGAUGGCUCAUUUGCAUAGCACUAAAAUUCCUGAAGCCAGAGUUGAGGGGCUACUGUUCUCCCCUACUUCCCCAGGAUCAUGGUCAUCGUCAAUGUUCCAGGCAAAUCACUACCAAUCCAUCACUUCGUACUAACAAAGGAAGCUCCCUUCCCAUUCUUGUGGUAGGCAUUGGGAAUACUAAGUCUCUAUUCUCAAGUGAGAACAGUCUAAGAUAUGAAAUAGUCUUUGAUGGGAGGUCAGAAAAGGAAAACCUCACUAGAUCUGGAAAGAUAGAAAAUGACUCCUCAGAGGUCAUUCUUCUAUGAGGCAAAAGCUCUUGGAGACAGGUAUUUCCUAGGAAGGAAGUCUGCAAAAUGCAAAUAAACCACUUAAGAUAAAGUAAACCUACUUUUCA